rnacentral:lncRNA from 1 species
UGAGGGUCCGGAAGAUGUUGUUGAAUAAAUAGAAAGAACUGAAGCUUAGGAAACUCCUAAUGACAUGUCUUACGGAUUUCCUCUCGUUGUGGUUGAUGAAGAUGAUGAUGGGGAUGCUCCAGCCACAGGAGGAGAUCAACCUGCUCAAGAUGAACCUAAUGUACCAACUGGAGCAACACAAAGUCCAUUUACUGCUCAAGAGGAACCUAAUAUAUCAACUGGAGCAGAACAAAGUUCAUUCACUGGAACAACUUAGAGAGGUGAAACCCAACAAAAUCGGAAACAAGGUAAUAGUUCUAAGGAAUCAUCUUCUAAUGCUAAUGAAAAAAAGAAGAAGAAGUACAAUUGAGGAUGAGAAUGAGACUGUUCUUAAAGGUCUAGUGGAUGUGAUGAAACAAUUUACUGAAAGUCGUGAUAAAAGAAUGAGUGUUUUAAUUGACAAGUUAGGGAAGUGUGACUUAUCUUUUAUUCGCAGUAAGAUACAAUAAAAGAAUGGGUGCAUUAAUUGACAAGUUAGGGGAGCGUGACUUAUCUGAUAUUCGCAGUAAGAUGUUCUUUAUCCGUGGAUCUCCAGCAUUUGAGUUAUACAGCUCGGAUCAGCGAGUCAAGGUAGCAAUGGGAAUUAUUCAAGAUGUAUAAAGAAUGGAAUUCUUUUUAAGCGUGGGUGAACUUGAUCGUCAGACCAUGGUGUGGAUGAUUAUUAAUGACAAGCUUUAAAUAUUUGAUGGUUUUUAUUUUGCUACUUUGUGAUAUCUGAAUGUUGUAUUUUGUUACCUCGUCAGUUUUCACAAAUGUAAAUAUAUGUGGAUGUUCUGGC